UAUCAACAGACAUGUUUAACAUUAAAUCUCCAUGUUAAUGCAUAGCAACUAAUUACAGGAGAACUACAGCUGUUUUUUUGCUCUCUUUUGAGUGAAAAUAAAGCAAGGCUUUUACAUGCCAGAACCCAUUUCACAAUAAUACAUCUCAAAAGACCUGGUUUAGACUGGUUCCCACAGUCUAGCAAUCUGAGAACCUUCGCAAAAAGUAACCUGUUUAUUCGCCUCUUAUGUCAUCUGGUACACAAGAUGAACUUUAACAUACAUUAUUCUGACAGGAAGGCCCUGAACUCAUUUUGAGAGCAGAUUUCUGCGAGUGAUUUAACUGCAAGUGCUGAGUGCACCCUGAUCUUUGCGAAAGCAGUCAGCACUGGGAACGUCUCUCAUACUCAAUAAAAACAAAACGCCGGGCUCUUGAUUAAUUUCCCGCACGGCUGAGAGAUGAAUAAUUAGAGGCUUCCACACCUCAUAGAUUUGGGGGUUUUCGUGGCCCUGACAGUCCGAGAGGAGUGUCUGCCAGUGGGCUCUGGCCUCACCUCGUUAAGCCCUGGUCCUGGGAUGACACGGCUGGGAGUCGCCUGGCGUGACACAAACAAAGUCUGGCCGCUACCUGCGGGACGAGAGGAUGAGAGACAGCGUUACACAGGAUAUUCCCAGCGUUCUCAAUAUUUCCUCUUCUGCGCUUUUCGGAAUCCUGAGUGGCGCGUCCUGGAGAAAGUGUUCGUGGACCCGGAGGGGAUGGGCAUGGCUGUGAAAAAGGACCAAAAAAUAAUAAUAACAGAGCCAUAAAUUCUGACUUGUAAAUGUGGCACAACAUAAGUAACAGGCCCCAGGCUGUGAAAAGCCUGCACUUGUUUCGUAGGGCUGACUGGCCACACAAGACUAAGGUAACGUCAUACUGUAUGUGUCACUCACAACAAGAGUAACUGUAAUGAUCAUUAAAAUAAGUUUAAAAUGUUUUUUUCCAAUGCAUAACUAUCUAGGGAUAAACCCUGCAUCUUUGUUCAAAAGAGAGACAUUUUAAAAGCCCAUGAAAUGCAGAAGAAAAUGAUCUUAUCUUCCUGUUUUACCUCGAUGAAGAUUUGUAGUCAAGAAAAGGAAAAUGAUUGGUAGUAACUGCAGUUUAA
rnacentral:lncRNA from 1 species